rnacentral:rRNA from 1 species
UACGUAGGGUGCAAGCGUUGUCCGGAAUUAUUGGGCGUAAAGAGCGUGUAGGCGGCCAGGUAGGUCGGCUGUGAAAACUCGAGGCUCAACCUCGAGCUGUCGGCCGAAGCCAUCUGGCUAGAGUCCGGAAGAGGAGAAUGGAAUUCCCGGUGUAGCGGUGAAAUGCGCAGAUAUCGGGAAGAACACCCGUGGCGAAGGCGGUUCUCUGGGACGGUACUGACGCUGAGACGCGAAAGCGUGGGGAGCGAACAGG